ensembl:lncRNA
GGGUGGAUGGUUGGCGGUUAGGGGCGAAGCGGGGUGGAUGGUUGGCGGUUAGGGGCAAAUCGGGGUGGAUGGUUGACGGUUAGGGGCCAAGCGGGGUGGCCGGUUGGCAGUUAGGGGCGAAGCGGGGUGUAUGGUUGGCGGUUAGGGGCGAAGCAGGGUGGUUUGGUUGGCGGAUAGGUUUGAAGCGGGGUGGAUGGUUGGCGGUUAGGGGCCACGCGUGGUGUUUUGGUUGGCGGUCUGGGGUGAAGCGGAUGGUUGGCAGUUAGGGUCGAAGCGGGGUGGAUAGUUGGCGGUUAGGGGUGAAGCGUGGUGUUUUGGUUGGCGGUUAGGGGCGAAGAGGGGUGGAUGGUUGGCGGUUAGGGGCGAAGCGGGGUGUUUUGGUUGGCGGUUAGGGGUGAAGCGGGGUGGAUGGUUGACAGUCAGGGGCGAAGCGGGGUGGAUGGUUGACAGUCAGGGGCGAAGCGGGGUGUUUAUGUUGGCGGUUAGGGGCGAAGCGGGGUGGUUGGUUGGCGGUUAGGGGCGAAGCGUGAUGUUUUGGUUGGCGGUCAGGGGUGAAGCGGAUGGUUGGCGGUUAGGGGGAAUGCGGGGUGGUUGGUUGGCGGUUAGGGGCUAAGCG